AUUGAACGCUGGCGGCAUGCCUUACACAUGCAAGUCGAACGGCAGCACGGGAGCAAUCCUGGUGGCGAGUGGCGAACGGGUGAGUAAUAUAUCGGAACGUGCCCAGUCGUGGGGGAUAACGUAGCGAAAGCUACGCUAAUACCGCAUACGAUCUACGGAUGAAAGCGGGGGAUCGCAAGACCUCGCGCGAUUGGAGCGGCCGAUAUCAGAUUAGGUAGUUGGUGAGGUAAAGGCUCACCAAGCCGACGAUCUGUAGCUGGUCUGAGAGGACGACCAGCCACACUGGGACUGAGACACGGCCCAGACUCCUACGGGAGGCAGCAGGGGGGAAUUUUGGACAAUGGGCGCAAGCCUGAUCCAGCAAUGCCGCGUGCAGGAUGAAGGCCUUCGGGUUGUAAACUGCUUUUGUACGGAACGAAACGGUGAGCUCUAAUACAGUUUGCUAAUGACGGUACCGUAAGAAUAAGCACCGGCUAACUACGUGCCAGCAGCCGCCGUAA
rnacentral:rRNA from 1 species